rnacentral:tRNA from 3 species
AGGGGUGUAGCUCAACUGGUAGAGCACUGGUCUCCAAAACCAGCGGUUGCAGGUUCGAGUCCUGUCGCCCCUGCCA